UACGUAGGGUGCAAGCGUUGUCCGGAAUUAUUGGGCGUAAAGAGCUCGUAGGCGGUCUGUCGCGUCGGAUGUGAAAAUCCAGGGCUCAACCCUGGACCUGCAUUCGAUACGGGCAGACUAGAGUUUGGUAGGGGAGACUGGAAUUCCUUGGUGUAGCGGUGAAAAUGCGUAGAUAUUGGGAGGAACACCAGUGGCGAAGGCGGCUCACUGGACCGGUACUGACGCUGAGGCGCGAAAGCGUGGGGAGCA
rnacentral:rRNA from 1 species